CCAAAUCACAAUAAAACUGGAUAAUUAAACCUUCCCCCUUAAAGGGUUACAUAAAAAAAAUCUCCUAGGUUGUCUAACCUUUAAACACAAUCAUUCAAAUGCGGAAAAUAAAUAAUCUUUAUUACAACCAUUCCAUUAAAAACUGAUAAUAAAAUAUCAUCAAAUUACAAGUCUUCAAAACUUGUUCAUCUUUCCUUUUCCCUUACUGGUGCUAGGUACAUCAACCUUCUCAUCCUUAACUAUAAUAAUUAUAUAAGCAAGAGUGAGCAAACAAAGCUCACUUGAUACAAUAAUCAAUGAAAAACCUUUACAACAAAUGUAAAAUAAGAGACUCAAUAGAUUUAAACAAUUACGAUUUGUCAACAAUCUGAAGUAAAUAACUGAGGGUCCUAAGACCACGAACUAUGUCCAUAGUGAUAAGUAAUGUUUCAACUUAAACUUUAACAGUCAUAAGACUAUAGGGACUCCUCGUACUUAGGGGGAUCAACCCUUUGUACAAUGUAUUGUGCACAAACAUUUCAACGCUAAGCGUAAGUUACCCCCAAUAAUAGGGUUGUUCAUCUCAGUACUUAGAGUACAAGUCCGCACCAAAAUGAGUUUGGUUUGGAUACAUUUUAGGGUAAUUUAGAAUUCAACGAACAUCAACUAAGGAUUAGUUGAAUAAAACCAAUAACAUCGUACUAUAGAAUAAUCGUAAUUGAAUCAACAUGGUAAACCAAAAUCAUGCUUUAGGAAUAAUCUAAUAGCAUAUACUUUGAAUAACUAUAACAUGCCUUGCUUGAACAAUAUUAAGUCAAGGUUAAUUAGAAUUGAGUACUAAGCAUGCAUAGUAGUUUGAACGAUAAAAUUGUUCGACAUUAGUAUAAAUAGUUGUUCAUGCUAAACAACAAGUUAAAUACAAGAAUAACUUGUCAACAUCAAACCAAAGUUUAGAAAGCUUGCAUCAUUUAUAAGGUAAUCGAAUUGAAACAAUAAAUAGUUCAACAAGAUAAAGAAUUAGAAAACUUGCAUUGCUCGUAGGCUAAACCGAAUCAAUUCGGAUCACAAUACCUUAUAUGUACAUAUGUACAUAUAUAUAUAUAUAUGUCAUCAUGACAUAGUUAGUCACUACUACUUUACAAAUUUAACUAACUAUAUACAUAAUAUAGGUUUGAUUAUUUAAUCAUAUAAUCAAGUUAUAACACAAGUUAAUUGUUAAUAACAUACUUAUUCUUAGUAUAGAAAUACUAAUAUCAACAUUUUACAGUCCUACUAUCAUCACAUAACAAUUUCUUAACAUUUGAGUACAAAAAAAAUACACUGUCAGACCAUUCUGCUAACUCGCGCUGCGGCGCCACAGUUUAUACUGUGGUGCGGCGCUGCGGCGCAAGAAUAACGCUACAAGGCCGCGCUGUGGCGCGAAAGAUGAACUGAUGGGCCGCGCUGCGGCGCCAAACUGUAGUUUCGACUGACAGCUUCGGCAACAGUAUAAGAAAAAGCCAAUUUUGGCCUAAAAGUUCCUUUCUAACAGCCUAAUUCACAUGAAAUUCAUACAAAGACUUCAUGUAAACAUAAUUCAAAGAUUGUAAAUAUGUUUCUACUCAUAAAACAAUAUAAACAACAAAUUUAACACAUACAAUUUCACUAUUUUUGAUAAAAACUCACUUUUUGAUGUUUUUGACGAAAAUAAACACUGUGAUUUUGUUUUUCAACCAAAACAGUUAAUUCAAAGCAUUUUAUCAAUGUUUAUACAUACUCUAUCAAACUCAACAGUCAAUUUAUCAAUUAAACAACUAAUUACCCUUAAUUUUUACUUUAAACUAAACAAUAUAUAUAUACACAAACUCUCUGUAAAAAUAGCUUUUCUUCACAACCAUAUACAUAAUACAAAUUCAUGGACUAUUCUCCAUUAUAGCUUAAGAAAAUAGUUUAACAACACUAGAUUAUCAUAUAAAAUCACAUACAUAACAAAUAAUUUAUCCUUACACAAGGAUUUUACAUAGAAUUAGGGAAGAGAAAAAAGUAAACCUUUAAAACUAAAAAGAAUAAGAUAAUACCUUGAAGAAGAUGAUGAUGGCUAUUCCCUUUUUUUUUUUUAUUCUCAAGCUUUUCUUCUCACCAAUUCCCUAGCAUUUCUUCCUCUCUUCUUUUCUCUCUCACUUUUCUUCUCUUCUUCUUCUUCUUCUUCUUCUUCUUCUUCUUCUUCUUCUUCUUCCUCUGAGUUUUCUCUUUUCUUCCUAACUCUAACUACGUACUAACAAUGUAAUGUAUAUAGGAUAUAAUUUAUAUUAAUUAUAUAAUAUAAAUACAGAUAUAACUGAUAUCCGUUAUCUAAGUUUUGAAAACCAAAAGCCAUAAGGCUUGUUUGGCUAGUCACUAAAAAAAUAACCAAUUAAUCCUUAUGCCUUGUUUGGUAAAACACAAUUAGAAUAAAGACUUAAUAGGCAUUAGGCAUUGUUUGGCAAAACUAAAUUAAAACUCCUUUAACUUAUUUUAAUAACUACUUUAUAAAAGGUUAUUUGUCACACUUUUAAUAAAUUAAAUUAAUCUUAAUAACAAUAUAUUAAAUUUCUUUAACACAUAAAUCAAUACCACAAAAUUAUAAUUUUCUAUAUAUUAUAACUUUAUUUAACCAACUAACACAUCCUUUUAAUUACAAAAUUCAAAUAAAAAGAAUAAUAAUUCAAUUAAUCAAAACUCUCUAACUUAAUAAUUAAAUUAAAUUAGCAAAUAUAAUAAUUUUCUUAAUUAUUUAUUUAACAGAUAGUUAACCAAAUUGAAUCAAAUUUGAACAAUUACAAAUUCAACCAUAAACACAUCCAUUAAAUACUUAAAUAAUUCAAUAAAUAUUUAAUAUAACUAUUAAAAUUCUGGAAUGUUACAAUUAUGACCAGGGAUUAUUCGGUAUAAUCAUGACCAUUAAUGAUUACAUAAAUAUCCUUGGCCCGUAAUGCAGGGAUGAUUCGAUGAUGUGGUUUAUUUAUUAAGCUGAGUAUCAGCGAUAAAGUUGAUGAAAAACUUUUUAAAUCAUAGAAGAUAGUAGAUUUUAUGCUCUACUUGACUCUUCUAAUGGAUUGCUUAUUCCGCUGCAGUUGUUGAUCUAAAACUUGUUGUCUAUGGUAUUCUAUCAGUUGUUAUACUGUUGAAGGCUAAGGAUAAUUUAUUCUGCAUUAUCUUAGUCAUAAUAUUUCUUACUGGGCUAGUUGAGCUCACUCUUUUCUUUCAUUGUUCUCUUCANNNNNNNNNNNNNNNNNNNNNNNNNNNNNNNNNNNNNNNNNNNNNNNNNNNNNNNNNNNNNNNNNNNNNNNNNNNNNNNNNNNNNNNNNNNNNNNNNNNNUUUUGUCGUAUUUUACACGACUGUUGUAUAAUUAAGUUGUAUUUGAAUAUAUGUACCAUGUAUCUGGCGACCCAAGAUGGGUGAUGUAUACCUGUUUUGGGGGAGUCACAGCGUCGUCUCAACAUACAUUCUAAACAAUAAUGUCCCACAAGAACUAAGGAGUUGCAAUCCCGAGUGAUUACCACGCAAGGCAGAACACCGGAUAGAAUUUGAAGCUUGAAGACAUAGGACAUGGUUCCAUCUUCCUGACUUCGUACAACCUCUAAACCCAUGUCAUUGCGUAGCUCUCGACAACGGCAGUCCUAAACAUGUCUUAUAUACCUCAAUCGGAUGCUCGGAUUAAAGUUCUGUAAGUUCGAACGGAUAUCAUGUUGCACGCGUGCACGUACUUCGAGACAGUGAGACCCGCAGAGCCCGGGGCACCCCGGGCAGCAGCAGGUGCAUCUGCGGCUGCCGCAGGUACACCUGCGGCUGCCCCCUCUAUAAAUAGAGUGCUUGGGGUGGCCAUAUUUCAAGAAAAGAUGGCGAGGAAGCCCUGUCCAAUUUGCUCUGUAUACACCCUAUAUUGAGUGUUUUCUCAUUUUAAACACUUGUGAGCUCACAUAUAGCUAUUUUUUACCAGCGAGAGCCGAGUGUUCAUCCACUUAAAGCUAUAGAAGUCUUCUUUGGCAGUCCACUAUAAGCCUUCUUACACACUAUAAAGCCUUUCUCUUCAUCUUUGCGCACACUCUUCUUCACGUUGAGAGUCAUGUUAUGUGUGUAUGCCCGGACUUCGGUCUGUGGUUUUCAUUUCUAUUUGUAUAUAUAUACUUAUAUAUGUAUAUAUUUAUACAUAUGUUUGGAGCGUUUACUUGCUUAUAUAUAUAUAUAUAUAUAUAUAUAUAUAUAUAUAUAUAUAUAUAUACAUUUCUGUCAGGCCUGGAGUUUACUUUGUGUCAUUUCACUCCUUUAUUUACAUUUCGUCCUACCCGGAGUUUACUUCGUGGCGGUUGAUCAUUUUUACUAUUUUAUUUACAUUUAGUCCCGCCUGGAGUUUACUUCGUGGCGGUUUAUCGUAUUUAUUGCUUUAUUUACAUUUCUAAUCCCCCAUGGAGGUGCUUCGUAGUGGUUGAUCAUGUCUCUCUAUAUAUAUUUACCGCUUUUAUAUAUUUACAUUUUUGAUCCCCCAUGGAGGUGCUUCGUGGUGGUUGAUCAUGUAUGUAUAUAUAUAUUUACAGCUUUUAUAUAUAUAACUGCUUACUGCUUUCAUAUAAAUUGCGGCAUCAUGUGAGCCUAGGAAUCAUGGAUCACAGAUUAGGUCUACUAAAUCUAGAUUCGGUUCCCGUGAUGGACAUUUUCAGUUGUACGCAGCUUGUAAAUUAUUCAUGAUGUUUGAAUUUCCUUAGAUGGAUUUAAUGCCCAUGAGGAGUUCGGCACUGCUAUAUAUUAUUUUCUCGAAGAUGUUUCGCAUCUCAAAAAUAAAAGCAACCAAGCCGAACAUUUAAUAAUAAAAUAGAAGUAUCAAAGACCUCAAUUACUAUUGAGCACGGGGUUUGAAAAAACCUCUUUUACAAAAUCUCAUUGCUAUAUCUUGUUUAAAACUAAAUUUUUCAUACAAAUUCAAACCCUGUGUAUAUAGGUGCGAAUGAGGCAUAGCACUACUUCAAAAUAAAUUUCACAUUGAUCCACACACACACAUACACAUUAAUAGAAUAGUUUCUUGAAAAGUGGCGGUCACCGUGGUAACACGGAUGUCGGGGGGUGCCUAACACCUUCCCUCCGCAUAAUCAAGCCCCCGAACCCAAAUGAAUCUCGGUUUCACAGACCCGUUUAGCAGUUUCACAUCACUGGGUCAAUGUGCAAACUUUUUCUCGGUUACGUUGGUGCAACCAGUUAAAAACACCAACUGGCAACUCUUACAGUCAAAUCAUCGACAUAUACAUAUCGGACCUUUUUCACUUGUUUUUUCAAACAAAUCUCACCUAACAUGAGAACACCAAAGAACAAGAACAGAAAAGGGACAAAUAAAAAAUCCCGACGUCGACAGCAACUAUGGUUGAAAAGUUUUAUCAUUUACCAUAUGUUCUAAAUCUCUGUUUUAUUACUGACGAAGGCUAUUGAUAAUUUAAUUAUCUUUAGUCAUGAUAUUCUUUAUUGAGCUAGUUGUGCUCACCCUUUUGCUUCACAAUUCCUUUCAGGUAAUAAGAGUGUAGCUAGGUCGAGCGGGGGUAACAGGGGAAUAGAACGGUGGUCUAUAGCUGUUGAGGUUUCCCCUAAAAAGUAUGGAAAUAAUUUUAUUGAGAAUUUUAGAUAAAUGUGUCGUAUUGUAUACGUCAUUUAACCGUUGAUUUUGGUGAACCGAAUAGGGUGAGGUGAACUAACUUUGGAAGGGUGUUUUGUCAAUAUCAUACAAGAUGUCUAAUGACCUACGACUUCAUGUUAUCAUAAGACAGGGUUGUGCACAUCCACUUGCUGAUUAUAUCUAUGAGCACUAGCUAUAUAAUCUUAGAGUUUUGUUGAAAUAUAAUUCUCAACUGGAGAUAAUGGAGAUAAUUAUAUGUCAAGAGAAGACUCACCAUUGGAAAGAACAUGAUAGCAAUCUUCUCAUUUUUCUUUGGGGUCUAUUCGGUCAACUAAGGAUAAUUCUCGAGUCAUAUGAUAUAUAUUAUAACUUAGAUGCAUGGCCUCCCAUGUACGAAGGUUUCCUUGAGCAUUUUCUAGAGAUUUUAAUUUCUAAAACAGUUAUUGACUAUACCUUUAUGUAAGGUAUCAAUGUGAGGUGUUAUCUAAGUAAAGGGAUGAGAGUCACAGUUGGUAUUAAAACUCACAAUAUAUGUAUUGUCGUAUUUUGCACGACAAUUGUAAUAAAAAGUUAUAGUUUUUUUUUGUACCAUGUAUUUGGCAACCCAGAAUGGGUUGGGUGGAUUGGACCUAUUUUAGGGGGCGUCACAAUUUCUUUAUCUCAAAUGAUAUUCUUCAUUGUGGCUAAAAAAAUUCUUACCUUUUGGAAAAAUUAAUCCAUUUUUUCUAAGCAAUGCAUCUUUAAGUACUCUACCAUCUGUAGCCAACCCUUCCCAACCAGGCAACACAUAUAAAAAUUACAUCUUUGGUGAACAAACUCCUAAAACAUUUGUUGUAAUUUCACUUUUUCUGUUUCUGUACCUAGGCUUGUCCUCUAUGGGUAAGUUCAUUCUUAUGUGAGUCCCAUCCAAAGCCCCUAAACAAUUCUAUAAUAACAUAGACAUGGAUUACAAGAUAUACUUAAACAUAGGAGGUUGUGUUAAAAAUGUAUGUGUGUAUGUGUGCAAAUUGUACCUUGAAAUACUUCUACUUUUCAUCAGUUGAGUCAUCAGCAAUUGGUUUGAGAUUCUUAAAAAAUUCUCCUUGCAAUCUUAAAUCUUCAUUAACUACCUUAUGAAAAUGCCUACUUAUCGACUCCCCAGACCUUUCAAAGUUAAAUUUGAUAACACGAUUUUUUGAAUGGUGUCCCAGUAUAUACAAGAAUAUUACAACUUGUUCAAUUACAUCUAUGUAUUUAGUUGAACGUAAGUAACUUUUCGUCUUGAACAUAUGAAACUCAAUUUAGAAAGGUACUCAUAUUCAUCCUAAGUUGUUCAAUACAAUUAUUAUCACCUCCAUUGAUUAACUUAUCAAUGUAACGUGUCCUCCACAACUUAUAAAUAGAAUAUUGUUACUUGAAAGCUUUCCACCUAAUCAAACCCAUAAUUUGAAGAAAAAAAAACAAUUCACCAAUGUAAUCAUAUACAACCACGUUGUAAAUAGUAUAACAAUUCUCUUCUUCAUGAUAUUCUUCCUUGUAGCUAAAUUAAAUCGAGUCAUUAUUGCAUUUAGAGAGUCAAAAUAACUAAUUAUAACAUAAGCCAACUUCCAAACAUUAGUUUAUUAUAAAGUCACAUAAAAAGAAACACAAACAUAAAAGCAUGAGACGACAAGAAAUUCCCUAAAUACACACUUUCCCAGUGUAAAAAGUGUAUAAAUGGCAAGCAUCUAUAUGUUUAGCGUUCCUUUUAUUUCCUCUUAUGUCUGCCUAUUUAAAAAGUGUAUUAAUGUAUCUUUUGCAAGUUAGAAGUUGAAGUUCACCUUGUGUGGAGAGAGUAACAAAUGUACAAAAUCACAACGAACAAUACCCUCUCAAACAAGAAAACUUCAAAAGCAUAAAAUUCAUGUGCGUUAGCAGCUAAUAGAAGUAUAAGUUACUCAUCUAUUGAAACUUAUCUCCUUAAACAAAAUCUUACCUAAUCCUAGUGUUAAACCUAAAAAACAUGAAGCAGUGAGAUCAGUUAUCACAUUGAACUCAUCAUUCCAGUACCCCAAAAAAACUAAUUUCAUUUAUUCAUGGUCCAAAAACCAAUUUCAAGAUAGGAUUAAUCCAUUGAAUAAGUCACAUGGGGCGGUGUUUGUACUAUGCGCAUGAAAGUAGGAAUCAACACCAGUGUUGUCACUUGAAUGACUUUCAAGCCCAAUCCUUAUAUAAUGCAUACGUGCAACAUUACAAGUGGUUCUGGUUCAAUCAUCAAGUGUCACUACUCCAACAACUAAGACUUUCAAGCAAACAAAAAUAAUGAUCCCCAUAUCCCCCAUCCCCAAUCCAAAUUUACACAACUAAUAAAAUUCAGGAGUUUGUUGUACCAAGUAACUUACUACAAGAGCUUAUUUCAUAUUAAUCGAGCUUAUUUCAUAUUAAUUGAGCUUAUAAUCUGUCUAUAUCGUUCAGUACAUGUAAAUCACUAAAAUGUAAAUAGGGGUUUGCUCUAUAAUUCACUAAUUAUUGAAAACUAAAAAGUGAUUGUGAGGCUUUUGUUUGUUCCCUAUUCUAAUCUUCAUAAGGUCAAUACAUCAAACAUAUGGUGCACAUAUAUCCAAAAUCAAAAUUGAUUGAGCACCAAAUUCACUACAUAUAACCAAAAUCAGACUUGAUUAAGCACAAAUGAAUGAACAAAAUGAAGAAUUAAUUACAAAUAAAUAAACUGAUAUUAGAUGUCUUACCGAAUUAAAAGAGAACAGGAGAAGAGUAGAAGAAUAAAAAUUACCCUAAAAAAAGAAAAUCAAUUUGAGAGGAUAGAUGUAGGAGAUAUAGGAGAGAACAGAGAGGACAAAAUAGAGAAAGGAGAGAGAAGAGGGACAUGUACCUGUGAUGGAGGACAUGAGAGUCGAGCGAAGCUAUUCGGCGAUGGGAUCGAUCGAUCGACAUCGAAGAAGAUAAAGUCUAGUGAAAACACGAAUAAAGCUCGAUUGGAAUGAAAUAAACCCACAUAUUUAGAAAGUAAUGAAAAAUAACAUUUCAAAGUGACUAACCAAAUAUGUUUUAAGUCAUUUUAAAAAUAAUGACCAUUCCAUUCUCAGCCCAUUCCAUUCC
rnacentral:lncRNA from 1 species